rnacentral:rRNA from 1 species
ACAUGCAGUUUAUGGUCGGGCUUGCUUGGCCAAGCAUUUAUUAGUUUUAACCAAUUACUGCGCAAGCAGUAAGGUGAAUCUAGAUAACUUUGCUGAUCGCAUGGCUUUGCCAGCGACGUUUCAAUUGAGUUUCUGCCCUAUCAAUUUGUUGGUAAGGUAUUGGCUUACCAAGGUUGUAACGGGUAACGGGGAAUCAGGGUUCGAUUCCGGAGAGGGAGCUUGAGAAUCGGCUACCACAUCCAAGGAAGGCAGCAGGCGCGCAAAUUACCAAAUCUAGACAGUAGGAGGUGGUGAAGAGAAGUACUAAGUGGUGGUUAUUUACUACCAGCUUGGAAUGGACGUAAUUUAAGCAAUUCGAUGAGUAACUACUGGAGGGCAAGUCCUGGUGCCAGCAGCCGCGGUAAUUCCAGCUCCAGUGGCGUGAUUUAAAGUUGCUGCGUUUAAAACGCUCGUAGUUGGAUCAAGCGGUGACAGUUUGUAUUCUGCGGUUAGCAUUUGGCUGCUCUAGUCGAUGCUAGCCGUGGAUUAAAACGCAAACUGUCACUAUUUAAUCGCAAAUAUGUUAGUUGGCCUUUAAUGAGUUGACUAUCAUAUUUUGCAGAGUUGUGCCUUGAAUAAAACAGAGUGCUCAAAGCAGGCGAACGCUUGAAUGUUGUAGCAUGGAACGAACAAACGUGUAUUCGCACAUGUCGUGCGGAGCGGAUGUGCUUCUGGCGCGUCUGCUUUGCUGACGUGUGCAUCACCCGCCAAAGUACGAUUGUUGGUUAUCGUAUUAGGUGAUGAU